rnacentral:rRNA from 1 species
GAUGAACGCUGGCGGCGUGCCUAAUACAUGCAAGUCGAGCGAACGGACGAGAAGCUUGCCUCUCUGAUGUUAGCGGCGGACGGGUGAGUAACACGUGGAUAACCUACCUAUAAGACUGGGAUAACUUCGGGAAACCGGAGCUAAUACCGGAUAAUAUUUUGAACCGCAUGGUUCAAAAGUGAAAGACGGUCUUGCUGUCACUUAUAGAUGGAUCCGCGCUGCAUUAGCUAGUUGGUAAGGUAACGGCUUACCAAGGCAACGAUGCAUAGCCGACCUGAGAGGGUGAUCGGCCACACUGGAACUGAGACACGGUCCAGACUCCUACGGGAGGCAGCAGAAGGGAACCUUCCGCAAUGGGCGAAAGCCUGACGGAGCAACGCCGCGUGAGUGAUGAAGGUCUUCGGAUCGUAAAACUCUGUUAUUAGGGAAGAACAUAUGUGUAAGUAACUGUGCACAACGUGACGGUACCUAAUCAGAAAGCCACGGCUAACUACGUG